GAUGAACGCUAGCGGCAGGCUUAACACAUGCAAGUCGAGGGGUAGAGGCUUUCGGGCCUUGAGACCGGCGCACGGGUGCGUAACGCGUAUGCAAUCCGCCUUGUACUGGGGGAUAGCCCAGAGAAAUUUGGAUUAAUACCCCAUAGUAUUUUCGGUUGGCAUCAACUGAUUAUUAAAGUUUUUCGGUACAAGAUGAGCAUGCGUCCCAUUAGCUAGUUGGUAUGGUAACGGCAUACCAAGGCUACGAUGGGUAGGGGUCCUGAGAGGGAGAUCCCCCACACUGGUACUGAGACACGGACCAGACUCCUACGGGAGGCAGCAGUGAGGAAUAUUGGUCAAUGGUCGCAAGACUGAACCAGCCAUGCCGCGUGCAGGAUGAAGCAUCUAUGGUGUGUAAACUGCUUUUGUACGGGAAGAAACACUCCUACGUGUAGGGGCUUGACGGUACCGUAAGAAUAAGGAUCGGCUAACUCCGUGCCAGCCGCCGCAGUAAAAC
rnacentral:rRNA from 1 species